rnacentral:rRNA from 1 species
UACGGAGGGGGCGAGCGUUAUUCGGAAUCAUUGGGCGUAAAGGGCGCGUAGGCGGCUUUGUAAGUCUUGGGUGAAAGCCCUCGGCUCAACCGAGGAAUUGCCUUGGAUACUGCGAAGCUCGAGGCUGGAAGAGGACAGUGGAAUUCCCGGUGUAGCGGUGGAAAUGACGCAGAUAUCAGGAGGGAACACCCGGUGGGCGAAAGG